UACGUAGGGUGCAAGCGUUUGUCCGGAAUUAUUGGGCGUAAAGAGCUCGUAGGCGGUGUGUCGCGUCUGCUGUGAAAACUCAGGGCUCAACUCUGAGCUUGCAGUGGGUACGGGCACACUUGAGUGCGGUAGGGGGAGACUGGAAUUCCUGGUGUAGCGGUGAAAUGCGCAGAUAUCAGGAGGAACACCGGUGGCGAAGGCGGGUCUCUGGGCCGUAACUGGACGCUGAGGAGCGAAAGCAUGGGGAGCGAACAGG
rnacentral:rRNA from 1 species